rnacentral:siRNA from 1 species
AGUAAGGGAGUGAAUGUGC